rnacentral:rRNA from 1 species
ACGGGUGAGUAACGCGUGGGAAUCUACCCAUCUCUACGGAAUAACGCACGGAAACGUGUGCUAAUACCGUAUACGUCCUUCGGGAGAAAGAUUUAUCGGAGAUGGAUGAGCCCGCGUUGGAUUAGCUAGUUGGUGGGGUAAAGGCCUACCAAGGCGACGAUCCAUAGCUGGUCUGAGAGGAUGAUCAGCCACACUGGGACUGAGACACGGCCCAGACUCCUACGGGAGGCAGCAGUGGGGAAUAUUGGACAAUGGGCGCAAGCCUGAUCCAGCCAUGCCGCAUGAGUGAUGAAGGCCCUAGGGUUGUAAAGCUCUUUCACCGGUGAAGAUAAUGACGGUAACCGGAGAAGAAGCCCCGGCUAACUUCGUGCCAGCAGCCGCGGUAAUACGAAGGGGGCUAGCGUUGUUCGGAUUUACUGGGCGUAAAGCGCACGUAGGCGGACUAUUAAGUCAGGGGUGAAAUCCCGGGGCUCAACCCCGGAACUGCCUUUGAUACUGGUAGUCUUGAGUUCGAGAGAGGUGAGUGGAAUUCCGAGUGUAGAGGUGAAAUUCGUAGA